AGCGAACGCUGGCGGCAGGCUUAACACAUGCAAGUCGAGCGGGCGUAGCAAUACGUCAGCGGCAGACGGGUGAGUAACGCGUGGGAACGUACCUUUUGGUUCGGAACAACACAGGGAAACUUGUGCUAAUACCGGAUAAGCCCUUACGGGGAAAGAUUUAUCGCCGAAAGAUCGGCCCGCGUCUGAUUAGCUAGUUGGUGAGGUAACGGCUCACCAAGGCGACGAUCAGUAGCUGGUCUGAGAGGAUGAUCAGCCACAUUGGGACUGAGACACGGCCCAAACUCCUACGGGAGGCAGCAGUGGGGAAUAUUGCGCAAUGGACGGAAGUCUGACGCAGCAACGCCGCGUGAGGGAUGACGGCCU
rnacentral:rRNA from 1 species